rnacentral:rRNA from 1 species
GUGAGUAACCUGCCCUUGACUUUGGGAUAACUUCAGGAAACUGGGGCUAAUACCGGAUAGGAGCUCCUGCUGCAUGGUGGGGGUUGGAAAGUUUCGGCGGUUGGGGAUGGACUCGCGGCUUAUCAGCUUGUUGGUGGGGUAGUGGCUUACCAAGGCUUUGACGGGUAGCCGGCCUGAGAGGGUGACCGGCCACAUUGGGACUGAGAUACGGCCCAGACUCCUACGGGAGGCAGCAGUGGGGAAUAUUGCACAAUGGGCGGAAGCCUGAUGCAGCAACGCCGCGUGCGGGAUGACGGCCUUCGGGUUGUAAACCGCUUUCGCCUGUGACGAAGCGUGAGUGACGGUAAUGGGUAAAGAAGCACCGGCUAACUACGUGCCAGCAGCCGCGGUGAUACGUAGGGUGCGAGCGUUGUCCGGAUUUAUUGGGCGUAAAGGGCUCGUAGGUGGUUGAUCGCGUCGGAAGUGUAAUCUUGGGGCUUAACCCUGAGCGUGCUUUCGAUACGGGUUGACUUGAGGAAGGUAGGGGAGAAUGGAAUU